rnacentral:tRNA from 1 species
GGGUGGGUACCGAAGCGGUCAAACGGGGCAGUCUGUAAAACUGCUGGCUUUACGCCUUCGUAGGUUCGAAUCCUACCCCACCCA